rnacentral:lncRNA from 1 species
AAAAAAUGUCAUUAAAAAUAUUAAUAAAAACUAGAAUAUACUGUCAGUGAAAUUAAAAUAAGCUUGGUUUAAUGAGUAGAUGUACUACUAAUUAACAUUUACAUUUUCUAUUUUUACAUUUUAAUAUUGUAAUAUUAUAUAAUAUUGUGUACUACAAAUAUUGUCAGCUUUUUGACAGAUUGCCUUGUUCCUCUUUUGUAAGUCACUUUGUAUAAAAGCUUAAUGCAUAAAUGUAAUAUAAUAUUUCAAAUAAUAGUUUUUUAUAUACGGUUGUAUAAUAGCAGGAAGGCAUUUGUGGAUACAGUUCCCAUUAAUUACUUCAUACUUUCUCUGUAUUUCUGUGCUUUAGGCUCCAGACGAGUCACUCACUGCAAAGAUCUCUCUGACGCCGCUGUCAGGAAGGACUGGGUCAGCUGAGCCGGAGCCGGUGGUGUCCGUGUCGCUGCGGUCCACCGUGUGUCCAUCCACAGGAUCUGCAGUGACACCAUGUAAAGCUUUCGUCCAGAAGAGCUCCUGUCAGAAGCCCUCGCUCCGGGACGCCCCGAGCCACAAGAGUCCCAUUAAGUCCCCCAGUCAAUACUUCCAGAUCUGUUACUGAAGCCUGUUCCAGUCUCACGGAGUCCCUUAGUAUUAGGUUACUUUCUGAAGAAUAACACUGCCUCCAGUGAAAAAGUGCAUCUCCUGUUGUCUCUCACAAAUUAGUUUAGAGCUGUUUAAAUGCUGCUUGAUCUGUGCAGAUUUCUCUCCUGAUUCACACCAGAACACUUUUUCACCGGAGGAAGCGUUAUUAUGGAUUAUGGACUCGUAUUUUAGUUUAAAAUGUCUUGAUGAUGGAUUUGUUCUUAGUCGUAUUUGGUGCUGAAUUAAAGCAAAUCAGAUUCAUAUAGUGAGUUUUUAAUUCUAUAAUCAUCUACUGCUGUGUGGUAGCUCCUGACUGCCACCUGCUGGCUCGGAUGAUUGAGAUGAUGUUCCUGUCCGGCCCUUUCAUUAAAUAAGAUGACAUUGAGAAAGGACUUUUCUUUACGAACAGAUUUAUCCACAAAUGAUCACACUUCAAACAGGGACUGAAAUAUUGUGUUCAGGAUUAGUGAUACCGUAGGUGAAUUCAUGUAAACUAAUUCAGAAAAUACCCCAUCAUAUAUAUAUAUAUAUAUAUAUACACUGGUGAUCAAGAGUUUGGGAUCAGUGAGACUUGUAAUGUUUUUUUAAAGAAGUCUCUUCUGCUCAUCAAGGCUGCAUUCAUUUGAUCCAAAAUACAGAAAAACAGUAAUCUUGCAAAAUGUUAUUAUAAUAUAAAAUAAUGGUUUCUAUUUAAAUAUCCUUUAAAAUAUAAUUUAUUUCUGUGAUCAAAGCUGAAUUUCCAUCAGCAUUACUCCAGUAUAAAGUGUCACAUGAUCCUUCAGAAAUCAUUCUAAUAUGAUGAUUUAUUAUUAGAAUUAUCAACCGUUGUGCUGCCAAACAUUUUUUUGGAAGCUGUGAUACUUUUUUCAGGAUUCUUUGAUGAAUAAAAAGUUAAAAGGAACAGCAUUUAUUCAAAAUAUGAAUCUUUUCUAACAAUAUAAAUCUUUUCUAUCACUUCUUAACAAUUUUAACACUAUCCUUGACUUAAAAUUAAAAGGUUUUAAUUUACUUUAACAAAAAAAAGCCCUAAUUUGUAUGUAUUGAU